UAGGGAAUUUUGCGCAAUGGGCGAAAGCCUGACGCAGCAACGCCGCGUGAUCGUAGAAGCCCUUCGGGGUGUAAAGAUCUGUCAGUAGGGACGAACAAUGACUGUACCUACAGAGGAAGCACCGGCUAACUCCGUGCCAGCAGCCGCGGUAAUACGGGGGGUGCAAGCGUUGUCCGGAAUCAUUGGGCGUAAAGAGUUCGUAGGUGGUUUGUUAAGUUUGGUGUUAAAGGCGCAGGCUCAACCUGUGUAUGGCAUCGGAUACUGGCAGACUAGAAUGCGGUAGAGGUAAAGGGAAUUUCUGGUGUAGCGGUGAAAUGCUUAGAUAUCAGGAAGAACAUCGGUGGCGUAAGCGCUUUACUGGGCCGUAAUUGACACUGAGGAACGAAAGCCGGGGUAGCAAAUGGGA
rnacentral:rRNA from 1 species